GCGGGGCGAGGAGAAGGGGCGGGGCGAGUACUGCUCCAAGAUAUGGCAACCGUGACAGCUUUGCGAGUAGCUCCAGGUCCCCUGCUGCUCCGUGAGAAAUCAAACUUCUGGCAAUGACGAAGCAUGAAGCCAGCAUCUCAGGGAGAGGUGAGAAAACUGACACUUGGAGAGGUAGAGUAGCUUUAUUUACUUCACACAAGCUUUUGAUGAAUUUCAAGUCUCAACCUAGAAGUCUUCCUCUAAGGUUCGUGCUUUCACGCACCUGUAAUUCAAAUACUGAUGAAAACAAAACUAUUGCCCUCCUACCAAAUGGUAACAAUGUGUGGAAAUUAAUGUUAUGACUGGAUAAGACAAUUGUGAAGAAACUGCACUUCGAGGUUGUCUGUCUCCGUAUUCCGAUGGAAAAGGCUGGACUUUAGAAGCAUUGCUCGCUCCUUCAGUUUCUAACAAGAGUUUUACAGUUUCUGAUUAAAUACCAAUGGGAUAUCACCUCCCAUCUCUUAGGAUGGCUGUUAUAAAAAGGACAAGAGAUAACAAGUGUUGGUGAUGGUGUGGAGAGAAGGGAACCUUUGUACACUGCUGGUUAAAAUGUAAGUUAGUACAGCCAUUAUGGAAAACAGUAUGAAAGUUCCUGAGAAUCUAAAAAUAGAACUACCAUAUGGCUCAGCAAUCCCUCCUAUGAAUUAUAUAUCAACAGGAAAUGAAAUCAGCAUCUGAUAGAGAUAUCUUCACUCCCCUCUUCUCCGUGCCCCACCACAGCAUUGCUCCCAACAGCCAAGCCAUGGGAUGAAGUUACUGUGCAUUGAUGGAUGAGUGGAGAAAAGAAAAUGUGGGGGAGGUGUUUGUGCAUGUAUGUGUGUGUGUGUAUAAUAUAUAAUAAUAUAAUAUUUUUCAGCUUUUAAGAAGUUGAAGAUACUGCCAUUUGUGAUAACAUAAAUGAAUCUGGAGGAUAUUAAGCUAAGUAAAAUAACUUAGGGAGAGAGAAAAAUACUGCAUAAUUUCUGUUACAUAUGAAAUCUUUAAAAAGGUUUAAUACAUAGAGACAUGAUAGAGUGAUGAUUUGGGGGAUAAGAGACACAAGUCAACGUUUCAGUUAUAUAAAAUAAAUGAAUCUAGAGGACUAAAGUACAAUUUAAAGGUUAUAGUUACUAUUUUUAUAUUAUAUACUAGUGAUUUUUGAACAGGGUAAACUUUAGGUGCUUUGACACCAAAAGGAAACUACAUGAGUUCAUGUAUAUGUUAAAUUGUUUGACCGCAGUCAUCAUUGAUAUGUAUAUGUAUAUAUAUAUAAUUAUGGGCUCAUUAAAUUUAAAUGCUAUAAAUAGGUAACAAAGAAUAAAGUUAAUUGAAAAACUGCAUCAUUAGACUUGAUUUUGCCUACAUGAAAAACUGAAACUGCCUCCUAAAUAUUAAUAUUUGUACAUCGCAUAAAGUUUAUAUGUUGGAAAUAUGUUUAAAGAAAAGGAAUUAUAAAUUUUAAUAAACACAGAAUGACACAGUAAAUGCAAAACAGUAGAAAGAGAUGAAAAUCUGAUUAAUCAGAGUGGUUAAUGCUUAGAUAUAAUUAAUGAUGUGUUAGGAGCAAUUUCAAGCCACUUCCACAUAGAUUUAAUACCAAAGAGUUUAUGUGUACACAGAGAUUAAAUAAAAAAAUACAUUUACAAUGAUAUUAAUUGAUAUUAAAAUGAUUAUGAAAUCAACUGUCUGCUAUAGAAAAAAUAGAGCAUUAAGUAACUAGCAGUAAGUUUGAAACUUUGUUAGAAAGUUAAUCAAGUGAAAAAGUGAUCAGCAUUUUUGAGCACUAAAUAGAGGAUGGACAAAAUUUUCUUUUCUUUCUUUCUUUUUUUUUUUUUUUUGAGAUCGAGUCUGUCUCUGUCGCCCAGGCUGGAGUACAGCGGCGCAAUCUUGAUCUCGGCUCACUGCAAGCUCUGCCUCCCGGGUUCACGCCAUUCUCCUGCAUUAGCCUCCUGAGUACCUGGGACUGCAGGCGCCCACAGCCAUCCCUGGCUAAUUUUUUGUAUUUUUAGUGGAGACGGGGUUUCACCGUGUUAGUCAAGAUGGUCACGAUCUCCUGAGCUCAUGAUCCACCUGCCUCAGCCUCUUAAAGUGCUGGGAUUACAGGCGUGAGCCACCGCACCUGGCCUAUAAUUUUCCAAUACCAAGAAAAUCAUUUGAUAUUGCAAGAUUUUAAACCUAAAUUAGUGUCUUUAACUUCACAAAGGUAGAAAUCCUAUAAGUAAUGUUUCUUGAACACUUUAAAAUGACAAUAAAAACUAAAGUGUAACCAACAAGUAACAUGUAGCCACAUGCAAAUUUCCUUUUAGAUUGUUUUAUUAUUUUUUUAACUUUAUGUGAAUUUUUAUUUUACUAGGUUUUUGGGGAACAGGUGGUGUUUGGUUAGAGGGAUAAGUUUUUAGUGGUGAUCUCUGAGAUGUUGGUGCAGUGUACACUGUACCCAAUGGGUAGCCUUUGAUCCCUAAGAUUGUUUUAAAUGACAUCUAGAUUAAAUAGAACAUUCAAACUGACAUUACUUUUACAGCACCAGAGAAAUGCUAAGGAGGAAGCUUUGUGACUGAAACCAAAAGACCUGAAUUUAUAUAUUUAAUUUUACUAAUUAACAUUCUUAAUUUUAUAGAAAAACAGCAAUUCUGCCCACAUGCAGGAGUUAUGCAUUAAAGUGGAGCAUGAUCACUUCAGACAUUUGUCCAAAACAUAAAAAUUCUUCCAAGUAUUAAGAAAAUAUUUAUACUUCACAGAUAUUGUUAGUGUAUAAUACAUGGGCAUUGAGAUGUUUCAAAUGAGAAAAAUUGAAAUUUCUCAUGGGGCAUUGUUCUACACAAAAUAUUUAUGUAAAAUUUUUUACUCAUAUAUGCAUGUGGACAUUUGAUGUUUUAGCACAGAAUAACAUAUUCUCAAAGGUCAUUUAAUGUAGUAAAUUAAAAAUCUUUAAAGUUUACAAGAAUUUUAAAACUGCCCAGCAGAACUGAUAGAAAAAUAUGGGAGCUUCCCAGGACCAGAAGUGAAUCAAGAGGCAAAUUCACAGGAGUCAUGAAAGUGAGAAGUUAGAGCUGCCUUCAGGUACAGCUCUGAUUGCAGGGCUGAUUACACAGACCUCAAGCCUGUGAAAAUCGUCCACUCUGCCCCUUGGAAUAUACAUACAGAGAAAAUUACUAACUGGGGCAUCCCAAAUGUGAGAUCUCUAUAAUGUAAGAACCAAAUUGCAAUUAUGAAGCACACAAAAGAAGCUACCCAAAAAAGGGAAAGAAAUUAUACAUCACGUAAACUUCACAGAUUGGAAACGUAUUUAAAAUAAGUAACACAAAUAGGGAAAGAGAAUAUCAAAAUAAUUUUGAAAACACAUGAAGUUCUAAAGCGGGCACUGGGGGCAGUGGCUCAUGCCUGUACUCCCAAGCACUUUGCGGUGGCCAAAGCAGGAGGAUCACUUGAGGCCAGGAGUUUGAGAUCAGCCUGGGCAACAAAGCAAAAGUUGUCUCUACAACAAAUAGAUAUAAAAAAAUAAGCCAGGCACAGUGGUGUGUGCUUGUACUGUCAGCUACUGGGGAGGUGGAGGUGAGAGGGUCUUUUGAGACUGGGAAUUUGAGGUUGCAGUGAGCUAUGACCACCACUGAACUCAAGCCUGGGUGACAGAGAUUCUUUCUCAAACACACACACACACACACACACACACACACACACACACACACACACACACUAAACAGGCAUGUUUUGCAAAGACUCAAACAGAAAUUGAACAACUGAAACUUAAAUAAAUUUAAUAUACAGUGUAUGGUUUAAUUAUUAAACCAAGUUAAUAACAACAGGAUUAGUGAACUAGAAUACUGAGAUGAGUAAAUAAAAGAACUACAGAAAAAUGAAAUGAUCACAAUACAAAAAUGAGUAUACAUGUACAAAGAAUAAAAUGAAAUGAAAUCAAAUACAUUGGUUUCACUAGCUUACAUAUAAAUAACAAAUCACAUUAAUAACAAAUAUUUAUAAAUUUCUGAAACUGAAUAUCAGAUGGGAACCCUUGAAUGCAGAAGUGUAUUGUGAUUAAUAGUGGCCUACCAAUAAAAAAUACUCAACAGAAAUAAAAGUCAAACUGCAUAACAGCAAAGAAAAGAAAAAAUUUUAAAGCCAUAAGAGAGAAAAGAAGAGAGAACCAAUGAAGGUGAGAGCAAAGUCUUCACAGCCCGUGUUCAGUCAGAAAACAGAGAAAUAAGUAAGAGUGCUGAGAUAAGUCACUGUUCAACCAAUAAUUAGAUACUUCACUAACAUAUUUUGAAUAAGUGAGGAUGCACUACAUGAUUUCCAAAAGUAAAAAAGUGGGAAAUCUUAUUACCAAUAUGAGCUUAUUAAGAAUACACUUCAAAAAGAAAAAAAAUUUAAAAUGGAGUUCAAGGAAUCAAAAUGAAAUGCAAGAAACUGCAAACAUAUUGGGCUAUCAAAUCAUGGUGGACAAUGAACAAAAGGAUCCAUCAAGUCUUUGGCAGCAUCAGUUUCCAAAUGAUUUACAUAAAAUAAAAGUGCUAAACUCUAUACAAUGUAAUGAAAUAAAUUAUCAAAUCCUCUGAUACUUGAAUAAUUUAACUGAUGUUAGAAUCUCCUUUUCAGAUAAUUAUUUUCAUGGAAAAAAAUAUACAAUACUUCUGUCUCAUCAUUUGCAGAAUAUCAAUUAUCCUUUUUUCAGAACUUAUUAGCACCAAAGGGCUCACAGUGGCAUAGGCCCUGGUCACAAGCCUCUGGACACCCAG
rnacentral:lncRNA from 10 species